UCCUACGGGAGGCAGCAGUGGGGAAUAUUGCACAAUGGGCGCAAGCCUGAUGCAGCCAUGCCGCGUGUAUGAAGAAGGCCUUCGGGUUGUAAAGUACUUUCAGCAGUGAGGAAGGGGUGAUGUUUAAUAGACACCAUUCUUGGCGUUAGCUGCAGAAGAAGCACCGGCUAACUCCGUGCCAGCAGCCGCGGUAAUA
rnacentral:rRNA from 1 species